rnacentral:rRNA from 1 species
GUAAGGAAUAUUGGACAAUGGACGCAAGUCUGAUCCAGCCAUGCCGCGUGGAGGAUUAAGGUCCUCUGGAUUGUAAACUUCUUUUAUAAGGGACGAAAAAAGGCUUUUCUAAGUCGUCUGACGGUACCUUAUGAAUAAGCACCGGCUAACUCCGUGCCAGCAGCCGCGGUAAUACGGAGGGUGCAAGCGUUAUCCGGAUUCACUGGGUUUAAAGGGUGCGUAGGCGGGCAGGUAAGUCAGUGGUGAAAUCCUAGAGCUUAACUCUAGAACUGCCAUUGAUACUAUCUGUCUUGAAUAUUGUGGAGGUAAGCGGAAUAUGUCAUGUAGCGGUGAAAUGCUUAGAUAUGACAUAGAACACCUAUUGCGAAGGCAGCUUACUACGCAUAUAUUGACGCUGAGGCACGAAAGCGUGGGGAUCAAACAGGAUUAGAUACCCCGGUAGUCC